CCAGGCUCUCGCGUGGCGGGCGCUAGUAUCUGGAUGGAAGUCUAUACGCUUUCGGAGUCAUGUCUUCCUAAGUAAUCCGUCCAGCCAUGGGACACGGACUCGUCAGAGAAGCCAAAUCCGAGGUCUCCUGCUCUGGGUACAGAAUUAGAAUCUGCACUUUAACAAGAUCCCAUCAAACUGCUUGACAGCGGUAGGGAGCGGUUCCACAUUCGAAUGGUUUUCAUUAUGCCGCUUACAGCUCUACCGAGCGACCUCGUUUUCAUUGUCCCAGGAAGCAAUGAAAUGAAGGGUGGAAGAGAGAAUUGACUAGACGCAUGAAGUGUGCCUGGCAAGUACUGCAGAAGGCUUACUUAUAUGUGGUGCCCAGUUCACCAUAGUGGUGUUUUCUCUUACUGUGAUUAGCUGUGUGGGAGCAUGCAUUCAGCUCAAGAUGAAGUUUGGCCAAGGAGGCAACAGAGGAGUUGGGAGCGCAUGGUGGGCUGGGAAUAUACCGUUGGACCAGCGACUGGAAACCAGUAGACUAGAAAGUGAAGGCAAAGCAGGCUGAUGGCGGGCCCAAUGGAGUCUAAGAUUGAUGGGCAUGAGGGUAUCGGAGUGAGCGGAGAAGAUGAUUAAGACGCUCAUAGAAUAGCUAGAGCUCAGCCUGGCAUUGGUGGCACACACCUUUAAUCCCAGCACUCGGGAGGCAGAGGCAGGCGGAUCUCUGUGAGUUUGAGACCAGCCAGAUCUACAAGAGCUAGUUCCAGGACAGCCUCCAAAGCCACAGAGAAACCCUGUCUCAAAAACCGAAAAAAAAAAAAAAAAAGAAAAGCUAGACCUCCAGCAGCCACUUUGGACCAUGAUGUAGCUAAAAACAACAGGCUAGAAAAAAACUAUGCAACUAGCAAAUCAUCUCAUAAAAGAUGUCUACCUCCAGACAUUUUUUUUUUUAUGAGAGGGAAAUAAAUGUCAAUCUUGUUAGGCCACGGUUGUUUACUGCUUUUGUAUUAAAUGGAGCUGGACCAAAUCCUAGUUAAUACAUUGGAUUGGAUUGGUAAAGUACUAAUUACAUAGAUAUUAAAUCACCAUCAAGAAGAACUGUGUCUACAGACCUGAAGCAUUGAGCUGGGUACUGAAGUCCUCACUGGAUGAAGGGGAAUAAAUGAGUCAAUAAAUAAUUAUAAACAAG
rnacentral:lncRNA from 1 species